ACUGAACGCUGGCGGCAGGCCUAACACAUGCAAGUCGAGCGGAUGAAGGGAGCUUGCUCCUGGAUUCAGCGGCGGACGGGUGAGUAAUGCCUAGGAAUCUGCCUGGUAGUGGGGGAUAACGUCCGGAAACGGGCGCUAAUACCGCAUACGUCCUGAGGGAGAAAGUGGGGGAUCUUCGGACCUCACGCUAUCAGAUGAGCCUAGGUCGGAUUAGCUAGUUGGUGGGGUAAAGGCCUACCGAGGCGACGAUCCGUAACUGGUCUGAGAGGAUGAUCAGUCACACUGGAACUGAGACACGGUCCAGACUCCUACGGGAGGCAGCAGUGGGGAAUAUUGGACAAUGGGCGAAAGCCUGAUCCAGCCAUGCCGCGUGUGUGAAGAAGGUCUUCGGAUUGUAAAGCACUUUAAGUUGGGAGGAAGGGCAGUAAGUUAAUACCUUGCUGUUUUGACGUUACCAACAGAAUAAGCACCGGCUAACUUCGUG
rnacentral:rRNA from 1 species